CCUGGACGAAAAUAAAAAUAUUAAGGACACAAUCCCGUUAUUAUUAUCAGAAGAAAAGAGACGGCAAUGAAGCAUUUCAGGGCCGCGCUAUUUAUGCGACGAAUAACGUGACAACACAACUAUCUCUACCCUCCUUGAAAAAAUGACAUUUUUUUUUUAUCUGUCACGUCUAUGUUCAGAUUAUAAUGCACUCGUUGUUUUAUUAUCCCGACAGCCUUAUAUAUAUAUGUGUAAUUAAAGAAUUGUAUUAUAUACGAGGGCACUUGACAACAAUCAACUGGAUUAGAGAGCCAAAAUAAUCAAAUCUGAAGGUAUUAGAGCAUCUCGUUGUCGUCGACCGGACGUCAGUAAUUAUUAAAAAUCUUGGAAUUACGUUGGAUUGAGGCCAAAUGUUUUCUAGAUCCCUGGAAACGAGCAACGAAAGCUCUUUAAACUUUCCCGGCAAACGGAAAUCGCAGAGUUAUUUUACCCCAGGUGAAAAAAACAAAACAGACAGGUGCACAACAGGAAUCAGAAAAAAACAAACAAGUUUCCUGUCUAAUAAGAAAAAAUGUGAAGCAAUCAAAUGAUAAGGGAAAGAAGGAAAAUGUUUCGUGUUUGCGUCAUCGAUUUCUUCACGAAGGCGCAAAAAGGGGACAAGGAAAGUGGCGACAAUACUGUCGACUGCAAUUGGAUUAGACACUUUGUCAACUAGGCCGUAACAAUCAAGUGUUCGUGAGCGAGUGUCGAAAAGACCUUCUUGAGGGGGUGCGUGUCGGCAGGGACUUGAAGAAAACAUUCCCGAAAAUGUGUCCAUAUAGAUUUUCGUCUUCAAGGGGACGCGGCGGCAAUUAGAAACGAGUGCACGAGCCAAUAAACACAUUUAAAGGGGGAAAAAAAAAUAUUUAAAAACAAAAUUUUUCAACGUGUGUGGUCGUGAAAAAAAAAACACGCUCGUCUUAGACGUCCUGUUAUUACGACUUUGGUUACUCAUCGGCUCCCCCCACCUUCUUCUUUUUCUAGGUUUCUCCAGUUGGCUGGACGACUGGAAUGUGCCUCCAGUUCGAAAAAGAAAAAAAAUGUGGCAAACGAACAACGGAACCCAAGAAAAUGAGAAAAAAAAAUCAUGGCUAAUCACGAACUGGACAACACAUGACAUUCCCUAGAAAAAACGAUGUUCACGCACGAAUGCUCCAAACUCUCACCCUCGUGUAUCUACUUUCAUCUCACGUGGAUAUGAUUAAACCCUCAAAGGCUUUUCUUUUUCUUUUUGGUGAACAAGGAUCUACUUUCCAGC